GACGAACGCUGGCGGCGUGCUUAACACAUGCAAGUCGAACGGAAAGGCCCUGCUUUUGUGGGGUGCUCGAGUGGCGAACGGGUGAGUGAAACGUGAGUAACCUGCCCUUGACAUUGGGAUAACAUCAGGAAACUGGGGCUCAUACAGGAUAGGAGCUCCUGCUGCAUGGUGGGGUUGGAAAGAUUCGGCGGUUGGGGCAGGACACGAGGCUUCUGCGCUUGUUGGUGGGGUAGGGGCGUAACAAGGCCUUGGCGGGGAGCCGCACUGGGAGGGUGACCGGCCACAGUGGGACUGGGGUACGGCCCGUACUCAUACGGGAGGCAGCAGGGGGGAAUAUUGCGCAAUGGGCGGAAGCCUGAUGCAGGAACGCCGCGUGCGGGAGGACGGCCUUCGGGUUGGAAACCGCGUUCGCCUGGGACGAAGCGUGAGUGACGGUAAUGGGUAAGGAAGCACCGGCUAACUACGUG
rnacentral:rRNA from 1 species